rnacentral:rRNA from 1 species
GUGAGGAAUAUUGCGCAAUGGAGGCAACUCUGACGCAGCCAUGCCGCGUGCAGGAAGAAGGCGCUACGCGUUGUAAACUGCUUUUAACCGGGAAGAAACCCCAGGACGUGCCCUGGGUUGACGGUACCGGAGGAAUAAGCACCGGCUAACUUCGUGCCAGCAGCCGCGGUAAUACGAAGGGUGCAAGCGUUAUCCGGAUUCAUUGGGUUUAAAGGGUGCGUAGGCGGAGCGUUAAGUCAGUGGUGAAAUCCUGCAGCUUAACUGUAGACUUGCCAUUGAUACUGGCGCUCUUGAGUGCGCUUGAAGUGGGCGGAAUGUGCCGUGUAGCGGUGAAAUGCUUAGAUAUGGCACAGAACACCAAUUGCGAAGGCAGCUCACUAAGGCGAUACUGACGCUGAGGCACGAAAGCGUGGGGAUCGAACAGGAUUAGAAACCCGGGUAGUCC